UAUUGGUGUACUUUAUGACCUGGGAAGCAAAGGAAACUGGAAUUUGUUUGCUGCUUCAUGCCAAUCAUGUUUCAUAAAAUGUUUUACAUCCUGCAGAUGCCAAACCAUGAGCUGCUAUAUGGAGUAGAGCCAAAACUGUGGUCUGGGACUUUUCUGCAAUGAAUUUUCGAAGGCCAGGAAAGGUUGAGGCUCCUGUGAAAAAAAGAGGUUUCAAUGUUGCAUAGCUGAACUUCUCUUGUGGGGUAGAGUGGGAAAUUCUGAACAGUCAAUCAACAUUAACAACAAAACUUUGUGGAUGUACCUGCACUUCCAGCAUCAACAACAGUUGUAACACCCCUGGCCAAACAUGUCUCGUCCACAUUAACACCCAAGGGCGUGGCAUACUGAUAAACAUGCACAUGGCUGUCAAUCAACCCAGGUGUUACAAUAUAGCCUGAUGCGUCAAACUCCUCCAGCCCUGUUCCUUCAAGACCUCUAGCGACUGCGCAAAUUCUUCCGCUUCUGACUCCAACAUCUGCUAUAAAGUCCCGCUCAUUAGCUGGAUCUAUAACUCUACCAUGACGAAUAAUCAAAUCGAAGUGAGUACUUUCUGCCUCCGCCAUUUGCUGGGUCGCAUAGUAAGAUUAUUCUUAACCACGAAUUGAGAGGUCCAGUUACCGAGUCUUGAUCUUCGCGCAGAGAUCUCUGGGAU